UACGAAGGGUGCAAGCGUUACUCGGAAUUACUGGGCGUAAAGCGUGCGUAGGUGGUUUGUUAAGUCUGCUGUGAAAGCCCCGGGCUCAACCUGGGAAUGGCAGUGGAUACUGGCAAGCUAGAGUGCGGUAGAGGGGUGUGGAAUUCCCGGUGUAGCGGUGAAAUGCGUAGAUAUCGGAAGGAACACCAGUGGCGAAAGCGGCUUCCUGGUCCAGCACCGACGUUCAGGCACGAAAGCGUGGGGAGCAAACAGG
rnacentral:rRNA from 1 species